rnacentral:rRNA from 1 species
AACGAACGCUGGCGGCAGGCCUAACGCAUGCAAGUCGAACGCCCCGCAAGGGGAGUGGCGCACGGGUGAGUAACGCGUGGGAAUAUGCCCUUCGGUUCGGAAUAACACAGGGAAACUUGUGCUAAUACCGGAUACGAUCUACGGAUGAAAGAUUUAUCGCCGAGGGAGUAGCCCGCGUAGGAUUAGCUAGUUGGUGAGGUAAUGGCUCACCAAGGCGACGAUCCUUAGCUGGUCUGAGAGGAUGAUCGGCCACACUGGGACUGAGACACGGCCCAGACUCCUACGGGAGGCAGCAGUGGGGAAUAUUGCACAAUGGGCGCAAGCCUGAUGCAGCAACGCCGCGUGAGGGAUGACGGCCUUCGGGUUGUAAACCUCUUUUAGCAGGGAAGAAGCGAAAGUGACGGUACCUGCAGAAAAAGCACCGGCUAACUACGUGCCAGCAGCCGCCGCGG